rnacentral:lncRNA from 1 species
GAUACUUAGAUAUUCAAAACUCAUAAAAAAGGGAAUAUGACUAUGCCAUUAUUUCUAUUUAUAGCCUAAUAGAGAACUCCCAUAAAAAAAACUGGGGAUAAAGAAUCACAUUUUUUCAAUUUUAUGUAUCAUUUCGUUUUGUUCCUUACUUUUAAAAAUGUAAAAUUAACUAUAUGGUCAAAAUUACGAAUAUAGUCCCUAUUGUAAACAGUGUAUAACUUGCAUGUUUUAUUUAAUACACUUUCCCAAUUUAUUUCUUGAUAUUAAAUGCAUGAAAUAUUAAGUAGGGGAUGUAAUUACAUGUUUAAAAAAAUUUGGGUGCUGAAUCUUUAUGUUAAGUAGUGAUUUGGUCCAGUUCAAAAAGGUCAAAUUUUAUCACGUCUGAAGCUGUCAAACUGAAUUUUACAGCCCCUUAACACAGAAUUGUCAAUAUUUUGAGUUAGAGCUUGUAGAAGUUUCUAUAAUUUUGAUAUUAUUUGUCUCACUGGUAGUACACUAUACUGUAAAAAUCUUUUUGAGAAAGAGCAGGUGCGAUUUUUUUUAAUUUGAAUUUAUGGUCUAAAAGAAAUGCGCUACGAAAUAACUGUGUUCUCGGGCCAAUUGACGUGUAUAAUAUACGGAAGUACGUAUUUGUAGGUUUUAUAAUUUAUAUAAUGACGAAGAUAAACCCAUGCAUUAUGUAAAUAUAUUUGUAAUUUCUCAUUCAUUAAUUCAUCGAGAUUGCAAAUUAUACACAAUUCACUGUGAGAACUACACGGAAAGUACAGUGAUAACGUCUUAAUUCGCAUAAAUAGAUGUGUGAAAUUUAUUUUUAUACUUCACCACAGAUGAACAUGUAAUUACCUAUAUAGUAAUAUGCUUUAAUUUAUAAUACAUUGUACAUAUCUAUUGGUUUAUCGUUAGGGAGCUACCAUUUGAUUUUUAUGGGGGGGCUAGGAUGAAAAAUUUUGUUUUAGUUGUAAUCUCUGUCCUGCCUUUUUAUUUUUCACUCUAUUCGGUCCUGCCUUUUUUUUUUUAGUUUAUCCUGACUUUUUUUUACCUAAAUUGUCGUCCUGACUUUUUUUUUUUUUGCAAGUGUCACAUCCUGCCUUUUUUUUCCUCAAAACUCCUGUCCUGCCUAUUUUUUUUCAAAUUUUAUCCUAGCCCCCCCCUAAAAAUCAAAUGGUAGCUCCCUUAGGGUGUGUCCAAUAUUGUGAUAAUUGUCUGAUUCUUAUAUGUAUACUGUAUAGGCCUUAAAAGAAGAUUUGUAAUAUAAUAUUUUGACUUUAACAUUCUAACAAUUAAUUUAUAAAGGACGUAUCUUCAGAUUUUUUUAAUUUUUGAUUUAUUGAUCAUGUUGAUUUUUCACAUAUAGUUUAUUUGUUUAUCUUAUCGACUGACCAUUAAUUUGUCCUUUAGCAAGAAAAACUACCCCCUUUCCCUUUCUGUAAGAAAAACAAAACGUCACCAGGAUAAGAUAUGGUUUAAUGAGGGUUUCAAAUGAGGAAUCAUACAAGGAUUCGAUCAUGUAUGGUUCAAAGGACCAGCACAUUGCAUUCUUGCAAUCAGUCGUUGUAAACCGAAGAGUAGGGCGUGAAGAAACACGGGGGGUCUCUUCCUAUAUAAAGGUAUAUACAUAUGUGCCGCUGGAAUGGGUCCCUUUUUUGAUCCGUCAAAUAUAUCAAUGGGGUGCAAUUUUACCGAGGAAAUAUAUCAAUAGUAGUAAUUGACCGAUUGUAUAUGCAUAUAGGUACUAUUUGAGCUGAUAAAUAUAUGAAUGGGUUAUGAUUUCGCUGUGAAAUAUAUGUAUAGGUAGGGACUUCACAAUUAUUCAAUAUAUGAAUGGGGGGUGUUUUUAAAAUCCCAGCUGCACACCUGUACCCAAAAUCCCAUGUUGAGACACCCCCCCCCCCCCCGUGGAAGAGAAUUGACGUGAACUGUGUUGAUAAGGAGAGAGAACACCUGCAGUAUAGAAAAACAGGAAUGGGACAGAAGUCAAAGUGGCGGAUCCAGGGUUGGGUCCGGGGGUUGGAACCCAACCUUUUUGUGACGGUCAAUGCAUUUAAAUGGGGACAUAUGGUUGGACCCCUCCCCAAACCCCCUUAUCCCGGGUCCUUUUUGGAAUUGGCUGGAUCCGCCCCUGAGUCACCUUGGGAAUAAGGAAUAUGAUUGAAACGAUAUUAUUAUGAGAAUAGAUAUAUGAUGUAUAUCGGCUUGGUAAUUUUACCAUGUUUAAUAUAGCUCCCACCCACCUGUUAUAAAUAACAAUAAUUAUGUUUCACUGGUUUUCGUUGAAUGAAUAUUGUUUCUUGUGGCCAUCAAUGGUCCAAAAAAUCUUAAAUUCCAUCUUGUUUUAAUGUUCUCAAUCAUCAUAAACAUAAUCCUUCAAACUUUUCCUUCGAAAAAUUGAAAAUAUGGUCCUUCAUUCAUAAAAUGUCUUCCAUCACCUCGUUUUCAUUCGUGAUAUGAUAAAUUUACACCCACCCACGACAUGUAUUUUAUGAAUGGGUGUUUUUCAUUGAUAAUAAUCUGAGUCCCGCAUAUAUCCAUUCAUGACCCUUAUUCAUAAACAAUUUGUUUAAUAAACCGACAUUUUAAGCAGAUGGGACACAGGGUAUUGAUAUGUGGGACUCUAUUGAGCUUAUUUGACUUCACAUCGAAGUUGUCCGGCUCGCAAUAUUGUGGAUGAAUAUAAAGCGAUAGUGUCACAACUAUAUAUAAUACUUCACACGCCCCCGCUCAAACUAUACUACGAUUGUGGAAAGGUAAAAUAUGUUGGUAAAUUGUCAGUCUUAUUUCAAAAACUAAAAUGUUAAAAAGGACUUUGAAGGAAACAAUCAUUCACUCGGAAGCUUCUACCAGUUAUAUUUUUCAAAUCAAACAAACCAAAUAGACAAACAAAUGACAAAUAAUUCAGAAUUAUUUUAUUUCUAAGUUUGUUCUUCUUCAAAACCGAAUUUCUCCAUGUAAAAUGUUAAGCGAGAAAAACAAACAAGUCUAAUCAACUUUCUGUUAACUGGCGUGGGUAAAGGGGAGCUAGGAUGGCAAUUUUUGUCCUGUUGUAAUCUCUGUCCUGCCCGUACUUUUUAUUUUUCACUGUUAUCGGUCCUGCAUGUUUUAUAAGUUUAUUCUGACUUUUUUUUUUAACAUAAAUUGUCAUCCUGCCUUCAUUUUGUGCAAUAUGUCCUGCUCUUGUUCACUUAAAAAUCCUGUCCUGCUUUUUUUCUUCAAAUUUCAUCCUAGUCCCCCACCCCCCC